CAACAAGUGGUAAGCGGUAUUUUACCGAUUCGAUUGGCAAAGCAAAUACGUGAAAAGAAAAAAGAACCAAAAGAAAAGCAAGAAUUUAAGUAAAGCAAAACUUAUAACGACAGAGAUAAUAAUUUUGGUGUUAAGGCAGCAUUACACACUUUAUGUUCAAGAACCUGAUGUUUUGAAUGGCUUGAAAGGUUUUUCGAAUCCGAAUACAAUUUUGUGCCGAGACUGAAGUUGUCAAGCUAUUUUUAAAGGAACUACAUAAAUAACGAAAAGUGUAGUACUGCCCUAUUAAUACAUUUUGCAGUCUGAAAACCAGGCACUUCGCAGACAGAUUGGUGUUCCCAAUAGUUGGGCCCACCACUGUGUGCGGUUCGAUGGAGUGAAGCUAAUAAAAUAACCGGUUCGUGGCAGCAAACCAAACAAAAAAAAAGAUAUAUUUCAUGCACAAUUCACUUUUGCCAAAUGUUUCUUCGGAUUCUCUUGAUCAGCAAAUUCAGUUGGUUUUGUUUGAGCUGAUGCCACUGCUCUAUUCAUUACCUUUCCCCCUUUUUUUUCAACAAAGACGCGACGAGCUAAAAUGUUCGAAGGCAACUAAAAGCAGCAAACGGAAAUUCUUAGCCGCCGACCGGCAAACAAUCGCAUCAGAAAAAAAAACCAAAAGCAGAGAAGAAAACUUUCGAGAUGUUCCCAAUUGCAGAAGCUCACAAAUCUAUUUUAAAGGUGGUGGUUACUUCAGCACAAGAUUUUAAAACCAUUUCUAUAAGCAACAUGUAGAAGUUCUGAGAUACCUUGCAAUAUCAGAUAUAAAACCAUUAAGACCCUGAUAUUUUGGAAUAUAAGCGAUGUUUUUUUUCAAAAACUGGAACGUUGAUUUUUAUCACAUGAAGAGCUUAAGUCGUUAAGUCGAGUUUGAGGGACACAUGUCAAGAACCGCGUGCGAGCGAGAUGGAGCUAAUGGAGCACUUAUCUGGUAGCCCGGCGACUCCAGUUCAAGAGCCCAAUAUUUUUGUAUUUUUUUUUCUUUGGUGAUAAGAUAGUCGCGGGAACAGGAUAGUUGUAUAAGCGGUAUAUUGAUAAGACGACCGACAAUAUAUUGGCCAAAUCAUUUAAUCAAUUAAUUGCUGACAAAAACGAGCAAAAGUUCGAAGGUCAACAGGCGACAUUGCGAAAGUGUCCGUGACAUUGACCUCGACAUCUGGAAACUCAAAUAUCACCAAAACAAAAAAAAAACACCAUAUACACUAUGUAUGUAUGUCACCAUUUGACCCAGUUAAUCGAAAAUCGUGGAAUUAACGAAAAGGAAUCAAGGAAAUUAUUUGUAUUAUUGUGUCGUCGUGAGUGGGAAAGAGAGGUGGCGCAAACAAAGCUUGACAGAGACGGGGCGUACACGCGUUCAACAAACUUGAUUAACGGUUUAUCGAUUUGCCAUCGCACUCGCACAAACACGUGCUUUGUCUGUCGCUCCUAUUGAUUUUUACGACAUUGCAUGGAACUGAAAUAACUGCACAUUUCUACUUCUUCCUUUUGUGCACUGCUUUCCAUUUCAUAACGUUGUUUGUUUGCAUGUGUGUGUCUGAUGUUAAAAUGCCCACGGUUGAGCCCACGUGUGUUGUUUUUGUUAAUGACUGUGAUUAUCAUAUGUAAAACUUUUCAUUUGUUAUUGUUUUUCGAUGGAAGAAGGAAAAUUAAACACAUGAACAAGGUGUAAAGUUGAUGAAACACCGAGAGGUAAUAGAAAUCAUAGUCGUU